CCUACGGGACGCAGCAGUGGGGGAUAUUGGACAAUGGGGGGAACCCUGAUCCAGCGACGCCGCGUGAAUGAAGAAGGCCUUCGGGUUGUAAAAUUCUGUUAUAAGGGAAGAAAGGUGAUAGGAGGAAAUGACUAUCAAUUGACGGUACCUUAUGAGAAAGCCACGGCUAACUACGUGCCAGCAGCCGCGGUAAUACGUAGGUGGCAAGCGUUAUCCGGAAUUAUUGGGCGUAAAGAGCGCGCAGGUGGUUAAUUAAGUCUGAUGUGAAAGCCCACGGCUUAACCGUGGAGGGUCAUUGGAAACUG
rnacentral:rRNA from 1 species